rnacentral:rRNA from 1 species
GAUGAACGCUGGCGGCGUGCCUAAUACAUGCAAGUCGAGCGACUGGAUUAAGAGCUUGCUCUUAUGAAGUUAGCGGCGGACGGGUGAGUAACACGUGGGUAACCUGCCCAUAAGACUGGGAUAACUCCGGGAAACCGGGGCUAAUACCGGAUAACAUUUUGAACCGCAUGGUUCGAAAUUGAAAGGCGGCUUCGGCUGUCCCUUAUGGAUGGACCCGCGUCGCAUUAGCUAGUUGGUGAGGUAACGGCUCACCAAGCCAACGAUGCGUAGCCGACCUGAGAGGGUGAUCGGCCACACUGGGACUGAGACACGGCCCAGACUCCUACGUGAGGCAGCAGUAGGGAAUGUUCCGCAAUGGACGAAAGUCUGACGGAGCAACGCCGCGUGAGUGAUGAAGGCUUUCGGGUCGUAAAACUCUGUUGUUAGGGAAGAACAAGUGCUAGUUGAAUAAGCUGGCACCUUGACGGUACCUAACCAGAGAGCCACGGCUAACUACGUGCCAGCCGCCGCCGUAA